rnacentral:rRNA from 1 species
UACAGAGGGGGCAAGCGUUGUUCGGAAUUACUGGGCGUAAAGGGCGCGUAGGCGGCCUUCUAAGUCGAACGUGAAAUCCCCGGGCUCAACCCGGGAACUGCGUCCGAUACUGGAAGGCUUGAAUCCGGGAGAGGGAUGUGGAAUUCCAGGUGUAGCGGUGAAAUGCGUAGAUAUCUGGAGGAACACCGGUGGCGAAGGCGGGUCUCUGGGCCGAAAUUGACGCUGAGGAGCGAAAGCGUGGGGAGCAAACAGG